AGGACGAACGCUGGCGGCGUGCCUAAUACAUGCAAGUCGAACGGUCUUUUCUAUGGAAGCUUGCUUCCACUGAGAAGAUAGUGGCGAACGGGUGAGUAACACGUGGGUAACCUGCCCAUAAGAGGGGGAUAACAUCCGGAAACGGGUGCUAAUACCGCAUAGUUUUCUUGAUCGCAUGAUUGAGAAAGGAAAGACGGCCUUUGUGCUGUCGCUUAUGGAUGGACCCGCGGCGUAUUAGUUAGUUGGUGAGGUAACGGCUCACCAAGACGAUGAUACGUAGCCGACCUGAGAGGGUGAUCGGCCACAUUGGGACUGAGACACGGCCCAAACUCCUACGGGAGGCAGCAGUAGGGAAUCUUCCGCAAUGGACGAAGGUCUGACGGAGCAACGCCGCGUGAGUGAAAGAAGGUUUUCGGAUCGUAAAACUCUGUUGUCAGAGAAGAACAAGUUGGAGAGUAACUGCUCCAGCCUUGACGGUAUCUGACCAGAAAGCCACGGCUAACUACGUGCCAGCCGCGGC
rnacentral:rRNA from 1 species